AAACAGGCUCAGCCCAAACAAUGGCCUGGAACGCCCGGCUUUCGGGCCCCGCCGGAAGCCCGUCCAGCGCCCAACAAAAGCGGCGCGACAAGUCUACGACUGAGCCGAACGCUUCUGGGCGCCGCGCGCCAGGGGGAAACGUUCGCGGCGGAACGUUCAGGAGAAAACGCUCCAGCAACUCCCAGCCGACCCCGCCCCUCCCCGACCUACCAUAGACGCCGUCCUCCAUGGCGGCUAGGAAGGCCCGCGGGGAAUCCGGGGCGGUCCCGCCAGUCGGGCCUGGAUCCGCGUUGGCCCGCGGGCUCGGGUGAGCCCGCUCAAACGCCCCGGGAGCCACCGCCGCCUCCUCAGCGCCAGUCCUCAGCGCUGAAAAGACUCUUCCCUUCGUCGCCCAACCGCCCCUUCAGUAGGGACCGCCCCUCUUUUUGACACUGUCCAAUCCACAGUGGGCGCUUUCGUCCUCCCCGCCCUCGCCACCAAAGGAUCGUUCUCCAGGGCCAACAGUCGUACAAAAAGCCGGUGUAGGUAUGUCCGGCCAGAGGUAGACGGCCCGCGGGGCCAAUCGGAGUGCAGGCAGGGCAGCAGGCCCCGCCUCCGAAACAACAGAAAGCACUUGACAGGCUUGCUCUCCAAUGAGAAGCCCCGGAAAAGUGUCGCGCGGAGGCGGAGCCACGCGGUACAGCCACCUCUGCGCCUGCUCAAAGGCCCUGGACACUUGGAGUCUAGACACCCGAGUUCAGAGCCAGCCUCCAAGAGUAUCUUACAUCCCAGCGUCUCCUGGAAGGCCGUAUGAUCCAGCACUGGGGAGAGGAGGGAAAUCCCCAGGACUCGAAUGCCCAUCCCACCCUUGGUGUAGUGAGGACUCAUCCUGCUGGAAAGGCCCCUGAAGAACUUCAAGUUCCAAUAUCCCGUUUUUACAGAUGGGGAAACUGACAUGAAGAGGAGUCCAAAGUGACACAGUAAGUUGGGGCAGCAUUGGGAUUUAGAGCAAAGCUUCUGGGGUCCUUGAAAAGGACCUCAUUCCAAUUAGCUAGCACUCCAUCUCUAAGCCUGUUGUAGGGACCAAGGGAAAAAAUAGAUAGAUAUCUGUAUUUAUAUUACAUAUAUAUAAUAUACAUAUGUAUAAUAUCUUUAAGAAACAGACACACGGCUGGGCAUGGUGGCUCACACCCGUAAUCCCAGCACUUUGGGAGACCGAGGCAGGUGGAUCAUCUGAGGUCGGGAGUUCAAGACCAACCUCGCCAACAUGGCGAAACCCCGUCUCUACUAAAAAUACAAAAAUUAGCCAGGCAUAGUGGCUCAUGCCUGUAAUCCCAGCGACUCAGGAGACUGAGGCAGGAGAAACACUUGAAGCCGGGAGGCGGAGGUUGCAGUGAGCUGAGAUCACGCCAUUGCACUCCAGCCUGGGCGGCAGAGCGAGACUCAGUCUCAAAAAAAAAAAAAAAAGAAAAAGAAAAAGAAAUAGACACACAUCACUAGGUGUAGGGUUCCAGAGCAUUCUAGACUCACCAGCCCUGGGCCUCCCCCUUCCCUUGUCCACUAAUUAGCCCUGUGCCCUACAGGGUCUCACCUUCACCUUCACCUUCCAGGUCAGGCCAGAAAUGUUGCUUCUGAAGUCCUGAGUCCACCUCCUAGCACUGCCAAGCAGUCCACCUGGAGGUGAUGAGAACUUCCAGGCUUUGGUAAUGGACAACUCUGUAUCCCUGGAGCCUUCAUUCCUUUUGGCAUUACAGAACCACAAGAAGUCAUCUAGAAUCAUUGAGAUUCUCAACUCCAUUGGGCAAACUGGAACCAGCAAAAUCUCAGAUAUCUAGAAUUGCCACUGCUUCCUUGACUCUGUGAUCAGUCUACAGCCACAGAAUCCUGAUUCCCUUUGGACAUUCUAGAAUGGCACUUUAAAAAAAAACAACCCACCCAGUGGAUCCUUUCAAAGCACUGCUUAUUCUCUUGGCUGGGUGCUCUACAGCCAGAAGUUGGAGUUAUCUAAUAUCAAGAACUCUUAAUCUGUCACUUCAGUCUUUCUAAACCCACAGACUAACAAUGUUUUGUGCAUUCUAGAAACAUUACUCUUUAGUUUCUGGAGUAGUUCAACUCUCCACGUAAAAUCUGUCCUAGACUCACCAGUGCUUGCCUCUGUGGUCAACCUAGACUCACAGAAUCUCAACUAAUGAGCUUUCUGGAACCACAGGUCUUUUUUUUUUUUUUGGUCUUUGGUCAAUCAAGAUGAUCUUGAAUACUUGGGGCAUUCCAUAACCUUCCCUCCUUAGGUGGUCUAGAACAAAUGAUUUGCUACUCAGUUGGCUGAGUUGAGAAGCAACACUCCCUUGAAUCUUAGGUGAAUCCAGACCUACAAACUCUUGAUAUCUGAUGCUGUUCAAGAACUGCCAACUUGCUUCCCCAGAGGCAGUCUAUACCAUUGGCUUCUCACCCUGGUCAACAAUCCAGGUCUCCCCAUAUAGAGGAAUCUAGAACUGCCAGUCUUUUCCUCUUGGGUGAUCCAGAAUUCUGGUGAGACUGAGGAAUCAGGCUCAUAAAGGGUUCUCAGGAGGGAGCACAGAAGCAGAGGAAUUAAGGUCCAGUAUGUCCAUGGUGGGUCACCAGGCAUGGCAGAACCUUACCACCUAGUCAUUUACCCAGCAGGCCUGUCGGUAUUCAGGAACACCUGCCCCCAUCCCAGGAGAGAGCCCCAUCCCUCCAUCUUGCUACCUUGGGGAAGGGGGCAUACACGGGGAAGGGGACAUCAGUUUGCAUCAUGGAGGCAGGGUCAGCGCCAGGGUUGGUGUGAGAACUCGGGGGCUAGCAGCCCCAUCUUCUGUUUCCACCCCAUUCCCUUCCUCAGUCUCAUCGUCCUCAUCUUCCUCCUGGCAGCAGCUCAGAGCAAGUUCAUUCUCAUAACAAAAUGCAGUCAGAGAGCCGGGGAAACUAGACUUGAGGCUGUGGGAAGCCUGCUCUGCCCGUUCAUCCAGCUCCUUAGCACUGCAGACCGGUGUCCCUGGGACCUCAUAAGUGCGAUGGAAGUGGCGAUAGUCGACCUCAUACUGGGAGCCACGCUGGAAGAGAACUGGCUCAAAACGAUGGCCCCAGAGCAGUUCACCAGGGAGGUAGGACGAGCGACACUGUGUGGUCAUGGCUGUGGCCUCAACCAUCCCCUCGAGAAUGACCACCAGCUCAAAGUCAGCCCUGGCCAGCUCGGCACGUCCUAGCUCAUACAGAGGACUGGCAGAGUCGAUCUCAUGGACGAUGGUGAUGGGGGACACGAGGAAGAUACGAUCGGUGCCUCCAUCAAAGCCCACAUCCACAUCCUGGUGGUCCAGCGGGAUGUACUCACCCUCUGGGGUCACACGGGGCUGCAGCAGGAGGCGAGGAGCCAAAGACAGCAGGGAGCACAGAGACGGGCAGAGACGAAGUGAGAGAGAGGAAGAGAUGCAGAGAAAGAAGGCAAAGACCACAGGAGUGAAGAAAAGGGUGAGAACACAGAUCAAGAGAUGGGGCCGGCAACCCAGAGAGAGAGGAAGUCAGAGAGGCAGGGGAGGGCACAGAAACCCAGUAAGGGAGCCAGAGACCCAGGAGGGGAGGAUGGAGGUCCAGAGAAAACAUGGGACAUGGGACAGAGACCCAGAGAUAAAGAGAGAGGAAAGAGACUCAGGGUUUGGGGGUAGAAAACGGGAAGAGGGGCGUGGUGGGGGAAGAGGAGAGAGGGACAGAGUGAUAUUGGCAUAGAGACACAGAAAUCAGCAAGACAGAGAUGAAAUCAAAGCGACAACGGAAAAUAAGGAUGACAUUCAACAGAGAAUUGGAGAAGGAGCGGGAGAGAAAAAUGGCUUUUAGUAUGUGGCCAGAGAAAGAUAAAUCAGAUGACAAGAAGGGGGAGUUAGGGCAACCUAGGUCCAACAUUCUGCACCCACCACUGCCUCAGGCUUAUCCCUGGGCUCUCCCCUGAGCUAUCCUAGCUGUCAGGGCAACUGCAAACCCUUCCAUGUCAUUCUGUGUGUGAGCACGCUUUGUGGGGGUGUGGGUAUUUCACCCCCGCCUACCCGCUGGUUCCAUAGCCACCUCCCAGGCCAAGUCACUGCCCCACCGACUUCUGCAAGAGCCAGUGUCCCUCCUAUUCAUGAAUCCUGGUAUCUCAAAGCUUCAGGCAGGAGAUUGAAGUGGGAGGUGGGCAUCUAUCCUCCUCUUGUAAGUGUCUCUGGAAGCCCCAAG
rnacentral:lncRNA from 1 species